rnacentral:rRNA from 1 species
AUGACUCGACUCAACAACAUCCUUGACCGAGUGCAACCGUGGAAGAAGUCAGGUGCACGCUGCGGUGGUGAUGUGGCUCUAUCACUCAUCCGUGUUCAUUGCAAGGACGCUAAGGAAGAGAAGCUGAAGGCUCUUCAGGUGGCUAACACCAAGAAGCUUCAAUUUCAAUCUUUCAUGGAGACCUUCAUCGACGCGACCACUCGCACCAUGGACAGUAUCGACGUGGCACUUUCGUCAAGCCAACAAUUCCUCCUCCUACCGAGUGAAAAACUUGAUAACUUGACUUUAUUCGCCUCGGAAUGCCAAGUGAUUUUGUAA